rnacentral:misc_RNA from 1 species
UCCGGCCUGUGCAAGCAAAGAUUAGACGCGGGAUAGAAACAAUAAGCGCAUAAGUUAUAAGGGCUUUCUCCGCGAGUGUGUGUCAGUGCAUAUCCGAACGCGGCAGGUGCGACAUUGUUCAUCGCGACAUCGUGGCUCGCGUUUCCACCGUUCCCACCUUCCCCGCGUGACUUCUUCGAGCGCUUUUCUCAAGUAUCACACUUUCCCAGGGGCUACAUUGUGUAUUACAUCGUUUCUCGCCUCACGAGACAAUUUGUUAAUUAAGAAAAAUUGACAAGGAUGUCUUUCGUUCUGCAUAAUUGGGGAACACCUGAGGACAUGUUCGCGGGAACGGCCUAACAGUCACGUUUCCAUGAAAAGAAUCGCGUCCAUGAGAACAGUCGCGUUUCCAUGAAAAUUAUAUGAUUUUCUUUUAGGAAUUUAUUAUUGUUGAUCCUUCUUAUUUUAUUUAUGAAAUCAAAUUUUUAUCAUCUAUGAUUUUAUAAUUUCCACCCCCCGAACGAUUUUUAAUCAACGUUUUACGACACGCCUGCGAUUCUCCAUGAUGAAAACAGGGAUUCAAAGAUUUAUGGAUUUUUUAAGAAGAUUGAGCGACCCGGGAGAUUUAAUUUCGCGGAGUGAAUUCUCGUUUCACUUCGAUUGAUUUAUCUCGCGCGAGCAUGGGUAAAAUUCUUGAUCAAUUUUCGCGAUUUAUCGUUCGCUUGUUUCCUCCUAUACUCGUUUCCACUGUACUUCCGGUUUGUUUCUCUCCGGCGAGAAGAUUCCCGCUAAUCUGUCAAGCGUUUCCGCCGCUUGUUUCGGACUUUUAAUUUAAUUAGAGCUCACUUCGCCCUCAAUUAGACUGCUACCGCGCGCACGUUCGUGCAACUUUGCAGAGAUACGCGUUGGCUUUAGGAGGAUGUCGGGAAACUUCGAUGAAAGCGUGCGAUGUCUGCCCUUAAGAAAAUUAUAACUUAAUCGAAAUGAAUGGGGAUAAAAGAGAUAUUACCUUCGAUAACGCCGAGAUGCCCUAUCCACGGUGGACCGCUAGGAAAUCUUGGCAGCCUGUCACUAUCAAUGUUCACGUGCACAUCGUCAGCCGCAGCGCGCCCCAUGCGAGAUCGCCCAAGAGCAGCCUGCGCAACGGCAGGCUCGACCCCAUGAAGAUUGACCUGGUGACGCCCGAGAUGCCGACGCCCGUCAUACCACCGUCGGAGACCUUCAACCCGUCCACCGAUAGUCUGCACGCAUCCAUGAAGCCCAUUAUCAUGCUGGCCCAAUGCUUUUCCAUGCUUCCCGUGUGUGGUAUCAACAAACCGGACGCUUCGUAUCUUCGGUUCACGUGGCGCAGCCUGAAGAUCCUGUACACGGCGGUUGUUUUUCUGGGGGUGUUCACCAUGACGGUCUACAACGUCAUACGGAUGUUUUACACAGGGAUCAACUCCACGAAAAUGACCACGUUUGUCUUCUACGUCACGUCCAUGGUGACUGCUAUCCUGUUUGUGCGUCUGGCGAUGCAGUGGCCCUGCUUGGCGCUAACUUGGGAGAAACUUGAACGCGAAUUCACUUCCAGACACCGACAAGUUUCCAAGACCACUCUUAGGACUCGCUUCAAAAUUGUGACUGCUGUUGUCAUGUUGCUCGCGUUGGUGGAGCAUGGUGCAUCUGUGCUCUCUGCGUACAUGAGCGCGAUAGAGUGUGCCGAAUUCCGCGGCGACAAGGAUGUCAUCGGGACUUAUUUCCAAUCGCAAUUUCCGCAGAUUUUCUCGAGUAUGUCCUACAGCCUUUGGAAAGGGAUCAUCGUCGACGUCAUAAAUAUCCUGAGCACAUUUUCGUGGAACUUCGUCGAUCUGUUUCUGAUUCUCAUCAGCAUAGCUUUGGCGGACCAGUUCAGGCAGAUGAAUAGUCGUCUCUUCGCGAUACGGGGAAAGGCGAUGCCGGAAUGGUGGUGGGCCGAGGCCAGGAGCGACUACAACCACUUGGCCACCCUGACGCGGAGGGUGGACUCCCAUAUCUCAGGCAUCGUGCUUCUGUCCUUCGCCACCAAUCUGUAUUUCAUCUGUAUCCAACUGCUGUUCUCCUUCAAUCCAAUACGCGGCGUCGUACGGAAGAUCUACUUCUGCUUCUCCUUCGGCUUCCUGCUGGCCAGGACUGCAGCCGUGUCAUUAUACGCGGCUUCCGUUCACGACGAAUCUCUCCUGCCAGCACCGAUUCUGUACAGCGUUUCCGGUUCCAGCUACAGUAACGAGGUCUCGAGGUUCUUGACGCAAGUAACGACGGAUAAUAUAAGCCUAACGGGGAUGAAGUUCUUCUCCGUGACGAGAAGCCUCGUACUAACCGUCGCCGGAACCAUCGUGACCUACGAAUUGGUUCUGGUGCAGUUCAACUCCGUCCAGCAGGUGGACCAAUCGAACAUUACGAACGCUUGCGAGCAUUUUUACUCAAGAUAAGUAUGCAAGUUAUGCUGCGAUAGUUUUCUAUACAUAAGUCUCUACGAUUCUUACUUUCCUCUCUUUCUUCCAAGUUUAUUAGACCAACGUACAUUCCGGGGGGAAGGAUGUUGCACCGGCGUUCAGUGAUAUUGUUGCAAAAUACUGUAAUAUCACACAUGUACCGCUCCUUUGUGCAUCUAGCUCCGGAAAAUGCAUCAUCCGCAAGAAUCAGUCAAACUCACGCAUUUCCCGAUAUAUCACAAUAAUGAAUCCCAUGAAAUUCAAUGUAGCAAAAAUGUAUGCGUUAUCAAUCAUUUUUAUCUGUUUAUGUGUUUGUGCGUACCUCUGUUUUUGUACGUGCCGUUUGUAAGCGAUAAGAAGCUGAUAUUUAAAUAUGAUAUAAAUGUGUUAUUUCAACAAUACCUUGGCCGAAAAUAAAAAUGAUUUUACUAACAUAAGA